rnacentral:rRNA from 1 species
AUACGUAGGGGGCGAGCGUUGUCCGGAAUUACUGGGCGUAAAGGGCGUGUAGGCGGCUGAUUAAGUCAGAUGUGAAAGGCCCCGGCUUAACCGGGGUAUUGCAUUUGAAACUGGUUAGCUUGAGUGCAGGAGAGGAAAGUGGAAUUCCUAGUGUAGCGGUGAAAUGCGUAGAUAUUAGGAGGAACACCAGUGGCGAAGGCGACUUUCUGGACUGCAACUGACGCUGAGGCGCGAAAGCGUGGGUAGCGAACAGGAUUAGAUACCCUGGUAGUCCACGCUGUAAACGAUGGAUACUAGGUGUAGGAGGUAUCGACUCCUUCUGUGCCGGAGUAAACGCAAUAAGUAUCCCGCCUGGGGAGUACGGCCGCAAGGUUGAA